AGUGAACGCUGGCGGUAGGCCUAACACAUGCAAGUCGAACGGCAGCACAGUAAGAGCUUGCUCUUACGGGUGGCGAGUGGCGGACGGGUGAGGAAUACAUCGGAAUCUACUUUUUCGUGGGGGAUAACGUAGGGAAACUUACGCUAAUACCGCAUACGACCUACGGGUGAAAGCAGGGGAUCUUCGGACCUUGCGCGAUUGAAUGAGCCGAUGUCGGAUUAGCUAGUUGGCGGGGUAAAGGCCCAGCAAGGCGACGAUCCGUAGCUGGUCUGAGAGGAUGAGCAGACACACUGGGACUGAGACACGGCCCAGAAUCCUACGGGAGGCAGCAGUGGGGAAUAUUGGAAAAUGGGCGAAAGCCUGAUCCAGCAAUGCCGCGUGAGUGAUGAAGGCAUUAGGGUUGUAAAGCUCUGUUACACGGGAUGAUAAUGACAGUACCGGGAGAAUAAGCGCCGGCUAACUCCGUG
rnacentral:rRNA from 1 species